GAGGAAUUCACAUGCAGUGCGGGAGGCAGAGCCACAAACAAGUGCAAGCACCUGGCAGACUGGAAUACACAAGAGCAUCCCCUCUGGGCCCCCACUGUGCAGGAGGCUGCAGGGCUGGAAGUGGAGGAACUGUUACCAGAAGGUGGUCCAAGCAGGCUGCAUUUGGAAAGGUGGAAAGGUGAGGGAGAAGUCCAGGCAGAAGGCACAGCCCAAGGGUGUGAGCAGGUUCAGGCAGGAAAAGAUUCACAGGCCAGACCAGGGUGAGGCAGGCGCAGCACUGGCGUGGCCCUGAGAGGAAACCCUUGCACAAAUUUUGCACCUUGACGCCAGACAUGUUGGCUCAUGUCUGUAAUCCCAGCACUUUAGGAGGCCGAGGGGGAAGGAUCGCUUGAGGCCAGGAGUUUGAGACCAGCCUGGCCAACAUGGCAAAAUGCUGUCUCUACUAAAAAUUAAAAAAAAUUAGCCAGGCGUGGUGGUGCACAUCUGUAUUCCCAGCUACUGGGGAGGGUGAGGUAGGAGAAUCACUUGAACCUGGGAGGCGGAAGUUGCAGUGAGCUGAGAUCACGCCACUGCACUCCAGCCUGGGUGACAGAUCGAGAUUCCAUGUAAAAAAAAUUUUUUUGCACCUUGGGCACCUUGCUCGCCUCACUCAUGCUCAUGUGGCAAUCGAAUGAGUGGCAGUUUAAUGAGGAAUGGCGAGGAAGGUGCGGGGCUGGGCUCAGGAGUGCUGAGAGGGAGAGUGUGGUCCUCAGGCUGAAAAGCAAAAGCCAUCUCCAUGGCUGCCCAGAGGAGGAUGCAGUUUCCAGAGCUGUGAAGGGGGACCCAAAGGCCAGGGCAGGAGCUAGGACCCCGUGAGAAGGGGGCCAAGGACACGUACCCUCACUUUAUCCUCCUGCCACUGUCCAAUCUCCAAUGUUUCCAUGGCAAACCCAAUGGGAAACAAACAGAGCCCACUGAUGCCUCCUGUCAGGGGCAGAGUAGUGGCCUGGAAAGAUGUUCAUGGACAAAUCCCUGAAACCUGUGAACACGGCGCCUUCCAUGGCAAAGGUGCAGAUGAGAUCAAAUUAAGAUGGGGAGAUUAUUUGGGGAUUAUCAGGAUGAGCCCAAUGUAAUCACAGUCAUUAAAGAAGGAGGCAGGAGGCAGAGCCAGAGAAAGGAGAGAUGGUGACAGGUCCAGAGGGUGGGAGGGAAUCGGAGGGUGCUGGCUUUGAAGACGGGCUUAGAGGCCCCGAGCUAAGCAAUGUGGCAGCCUCUGGAAGCUGGCAAAGGCGAGGAAACUGAUUCUCCCCAGAGCUUCCAGGAAGAACCAGCCCUGCCUGCACUUUCAUACUUUGACUGUAGCCCGGUGAGGCUGAUUUUGAACUUCUGACCUCCAGAACCGUAAGAGAAUAGAAACAUAAGAGAAUAAAUGUGUGCUAUUUUAAGCCACUGAGUUUGUGAUGUUUUUUUUUUUUUCUUUUUUAGUAGCCACACUUCUCCAUCCAUGGAUGUCGGCCCCCUAGGCCGAAGAGCAGAGAGAGAAGCGCAGACGGAGGAACCCACCACGCAAGCAGGCAGGCAGCAAGUUCACUUUCACGUUCUUCUCAGGUUCAUUUCUAUGUUCUGCAAUCAAUGUAUAAGGAAGGUACGGUCAUUAUCUCCAUGACACAAACGGAUGAAUCAACAAAUGCCACCACGUUCCUUCUGGGGAAAGGCACUGACCCGACAGAUCAGGCCCAUCACCAGGCAUAAAGUGAGAGGGUGCCAUGCUGAGUGUCCUCUAUUAUACCACCAGAAGCAGGCAGGGUGUUUCUGGAAGGAGGGCCCCCUGGAGGAGGAGAGGCACAGAGGGAACUGAAGUCUGGGUCGCUGGAGAAAACAGCCCCUUCAACUCUAAAGGAGUAGCUGGGCCUGAAGCUGGGGGGUUCCAGGAGCCAAGAUCCUCAAACUCACCCAUGAGUUUGAGUUUGACAGGGAUGGCAGUGGGAACCUUAGGGCUGCGUGCUAGAAGCUGAUGGGUUCCAGAGACCGAGUCACCCAGAAAUCCCAUCUAAUUCUAAGAUUUGAUGAGUCCUAUAUCAGGAGGAGACAAGACCCGAGAAACUAUCACUGUGGUCACCUCCAGGGUGGCUGGGGACGGUCAGAGAGAAGGGGGACUGGUUUUACUUUUGUCUUUUCACCCAUGCGCUACCCAUACAAAAAAUAAUACACGUGUAUAUUUGAACUGAAUAUUUCUAAGAGUCUAGCCUUCUAAGCCUCCAAGAUUAUUACAAUCAUUCUGAGAUCCAGACUGAUUCUCAGAGACUGCUGGCAAAGAUUCGGGGGUUGGGCAUCCGUGGGUUUGGACCCCGGCUCCGUGCAUUUCUGUGCCUCAGUUUCCUGGUGUGUAACCCAGGACGAGGAUACCCACUUCCGCUGGAGCAUGAUAACGAUAACUCAGGCAUCCCCCAGGAUCUGUCACGCAGCAGAGCCUUUGUCCAA
rnacentral:lncRNA from 1 species